rnacentral:rRNA from 1 species
UGGGGAAUAUUGCACAAUGGGCGCAAGCCUGAUGCAGCCAUGCCGCGUGUAUGAAGAAGGCCUUCGGGUUGUAAAGUACUUUCAGUCGGGAGGAAGGUGGUAAGGUUAAUAACCUUAUCAAUUGACGUUACCAACAGAAGAAGCACCGGCUAACUCCGUGCCAGCAGCCGCGGUAAUACGGAGGGUGCAAGCGUUAAUCGGAAUUACUGGGCGUAAAGCGCACGCAGGCGGUUUGUUAAGUCAGAUGUGAAAUCCCCGGGCUCAACCUGGGAACUGCAUCUGAUACUGGCAAGCUUGAGUCUCGUAGAGGGGGGUAGAAUUCCAGGUGUAGCGGUGAAAUGCGUAGAGAUCUGGAGGAAUACCGGUGGCGAAGGCGGCCCCCUGGACGAAGACUGACGCUCAGGUGCGAAAGCGUGGGGAGCAAACAGG